rnacentral:rRNA from 1 species
ACGGAAGGCAGCAGUGGGGAAUAUUGCACAAUGGGGGAAACCCUGAUGCAGCGACGCCGCGUGAGUGAAGAAGUAUUUCGGUAUGUAAAGCUCUAUCAGCAGGAAAGAAAAUGACGGUACCUGACUAAGAAGCCCCGGCUAACUACGUGCCAGCAGCCGCGGUAGUACGUAGGGGGCAAGCGUUAUCCGGAUUUACUGGGUGUAAAGGGAGCGUAGACGGCCACGCAAGUCUGAAGUGAAAGCCCGGGGCUCAACCCCGGAACUGCUUUGGAAACUGUGAGGCUAGAGUGCAGGAGAGGUAAGCGGAAUUCCUAGUGUAGCGGUGAAAUGCGUAGAUAUUAGGAGGAACACCAGCGGCGAAGGCGGCUUACUGGACUGUAACUGACGUUGAGGCUCGAAGGCGUGGGGAGCAAACAGGAUUAGAUACCCUGGUA